rnacentral:rRNA from 1 species
AGUGAACGCUGGCGGUAGGCUUAACACAUGCAAGUCGAACGGCAGCACAGUAAGAGCUUGCUCUUACGGGUGGCGAGUGGCGGACGGGUGAGGAAUACAUCGGAAUCUACUUUUUCGUGGGGGAUAACGUAGGGAAACUUACGCUAAUACCGCAUACGACCUACGGGUGAAAGCAGGGGAUCUUCGGACCUUGCGCGAUUGAAUGAGCCGAUGUCGGAUUAGCUAGUUGGCGGGGUAAAGGCCCACCAAGGCGACGACCCGUAGCUGGUCUGAGAGGAUGAUCAGCCACACUGGAACUGAGACACGGUCCAGACUCCUACGGGAGGCAGCAGUGGGGAAUAUUGGACAAUGGGCGCAAGCCUGAUCCAGCCAUACCGCGUGGGUGAAGAAGGCCUUCGGGUUGUAAAGCCCUUUUGUUGGGAAAGAAAAGCAGCAGGUUAAUACCCCGCUGUUCUGACGGUACCCAAAGAAUAAGCACCGGCUAACUUCGUG